GCAUCAACAAGCGCCGAAUGGCGCACUUACCGGCAAGUCGCGUUUGGGAGGACGUGAUCUUCGGCGCGCCAAGGCGCAGCCUCGGUCCAAGGACCGAUGUAAGAUCCAGGCUUGCGAUCUAAAAUGCGAGGCAGUGCCUCGCAUUUUUUU
rnacentral:ncRNA from 1 species